AGAGUUUGAUUCUGGCUCAGAUUGAACGCUGGCGGCAUGCUUUACACAUGCAAGUCGAACGGCAGCACGGAGAGCUUGCUCUCUGGUGGCGAGUGGCGCACGGGUGAGUAAUACAUCGGAACGUGUCCUGUUGUGGGGGACAACCGGUCGAAAGACCGGCUAAUACCGCAUAAGACCUGAGGGUGAAAGCGGGGGAUCGCAAGACCUCGCGCAAUUGGAGCGGCCGAUGCCCGAUUAGCUAGUUGGUGGGGUAAGAGCUUACCAAGGCGACGAUCGGUAGCUGGUCUGAGAGGACGACCAGCCACACUGGGACUGAGACACGGCCCAG
rnacentral:rRNA from 1 species